AACACAGAAGAAAAAAAGAAAAACUUAGAGCAAUCAAGAAAAAAAAAGUAAGAAAAUGGAACGAACAAGCGUUCAGUGAGAAGACAAGUGAGAGACUCGAUCGAACAAGUUUCGACACGGGCCACCGUGUAACCGACUUGGUGACCUUUCCAUUAGCGCCACUCGACGCGCGUACACGCGUCGCUCGUGNNNNNNNNNNNNNNNNNNNNNNNNNNNNNNNNNNNNNNNNNNNNNNNNNNNNNNNNNNNNNNNNNNNNNNNNNNNNNNNNNNNNNNNNNNNNNNNNNNNNNNNNNNNNNNNNNNNNNNNNNNNNNNNNNNNNNNNNNNNNNNNNNNNNNNNNNNNNNNNNNNNNNNNNNNNNNNNNNNNNNNNNNNNNNNNNNNNNNNNNNNNNNNNNNNNNNUUAAGUAGAUACGUAAUGUUCAUGCGCGCCGGGGUUAUCAUGGGUUCCUGCCUGUAAAAUAUUUAUGAAUAAGGUCGCUGCAUGCUUUUGUGUGUCUGCAUGUUUAUGGAGGUUAUCUUUAAAUAAAAGAAAAUGCCCCGGUGUUUAGUAAUUACCGUACAUAUUCCAUAUAAUAUAUAUAUAUAUACGAGAUAUAUAUCUAUAUGAAUAGUUAGUAUAUCCGAGACAAUCUAUAUUUAUAGUGAGUUAAUUUUAGAGUAAAUUAUUAAAUUAAUCUUAAUAUUUCACAGUUAUUAUAAUUUAAUUUUUAAUAAUUUUUUAUUACGAGAGAAGCAAAGAGUAAUCUAAGUGAGAACAAGAAAUAAAGAUGGCUUCCUUCUCCUGCAAAAAGAUAGCUUAGCGGAACUAGGGUCUACAGUUAACUAAUUAUCCUUACAACGUGUCUACAUACUAUCACAGGACCAAGAAAAAAGCGAUCUGAGUUUAACAACAGAUCAAAUAAGGGGGUUGCUAAUGUGAAAAAGAGCACUCAGUACUCCUACAAGCCUGUUCAUGCAGGGCCUUUUUUGAACAAAUAUGGCGGUAUUGGUCCAGAGCUAAGACUGUAGGGAACAACAACUACAUCAAUGCCAGCAUCGGUGGAUUCUAUAUAAAUCCUACAUACAGAACUACAACGAAUUAGAGUGGUAGGUUUGCAAACUUCAAUUAAAGAAAGUCCAAAAAUUCCCAGAACAACCUGAGUGGACACUCAACAUGGAAGAUUAAUGACAGGUACUCUCUUCUUACCUGUACUUUAUAUCAAUGAGGCACAAUAUAAAAAAAAAUCCAAGUUAAAGCAUAAACAUUUGAGUUUCAUGUUUAUUAAUCAACGCUAUCGUUUUAUUUGCUGUUCCAUCUUGUGUUUUAUAAUUUGCUGCCAUUAUCAUGUUGUCUUAAAUGAGAGAGUACGUGGAUUAUAAUGUUAAACAGAGCAUAAUAGUAUAUUAACCUACUCCCUAAGCAAUUUGUUCUAUUAGUUCGUCAUAAUUUGGAAUCGACCGUGCUCAACUAACCAUGCGAAGGAUGCAUCAGGUGGUGGGCAGGCAUGGAUGUGAAGACCUUGCCCAUACGAAGCUCUCAAGCCAUAACCCCAUCAAUUUGAAUUUACCAUGAACGCACAACAGAUUACCAGCAACUCCAUAUAUACUCAAACUUUAACAGAAUAAACUCAAACACAUUAUUAAACCUAACUGCUCUCGAAAAAAAAUAAUAUAUGUCAUGCAGCCAUAGACAAAAGAUGCCUAGCACAUGCAGUAUAAAAGCAUAGAAGCAUUAUUGCAGACGCCUAAAUUCUACUACCGGCAUCGGAUCAUUUAGUUCUUUUGGAGUUGUCUUGAACAUAAGUACGAAAGAGGACAACCUUGCAAACAUUUGGGAUAAACAGGGCGCUAAACCAAACAGCUAUUGCAAUUAAUCACAAACCCUAAGCCAAAAGCAAACACAAACCUGAGAGAAAUUAAAUGGACAAAUCAAUUAUCGAGAGUUCACAAUCUAACUGGAAACAACACACCGACAAAAAAACACUUGUUCGGCCAAAAUUUAUAGCUGAUUAGGUAAAGUUCCAAGCUGAACCGAGGCCUCCGGAAAGGUAAAGGCACAUGCGUAAAUUAUUCAGACUGAUCUCAAAUUGGUUUGGAUGUUUUGCAGAAUGCUGGUUCCGACUCGAACUAGAACCCCUCCAUCAAAUCAGUGUAGCCGUAUAUCUGCAAUCCAGAAUAAUUCAGAAAAGAAGCUUACGUGACCUAGUCCUAUUUAAAUAGCAAUCCCUCAGAACCAACAUUAUAUAGCUUAAAAUUAACUAAGGUGAGAGAAGAAGGCUCCGGCUCCGACAAGGCUCACCGGGUGGUUGACGGGGUAAGAUUCCUUAACUGCUUUCCAUCGACGGCGCCGCGCAAGGCGUUGCUAAGGGGAUUUUCAACUCCCUCGUCGACAGGGUUCUUGCGAAUCAGGAAGCUGCAGUGCGCGAGUUCGAGCACAGUGACGACAUUGGCUUGAUUAUAUCAUCUUAAUUAUACACUCUUAUUAUUUUAUUGAUGAUAAUAUAUAAUUUGUUAUUUUAUUGUAACAUAUUCAUAAUAUUUAAUUUAAUAUAAUCAAUAAAUUAAUUAAUGUAUUAGUAAAUUUAUAUUUUCUAAACGUUUGACUAUAUAUUAAUUUAAUUUAUUAUUUAACAUAAGUUAAAUUAAGUGUAUGACAUAAUUAUUGAAUUUAUGAAUUUAUCUUUAUAAAAUUUAAUACUACCCAUAUAUAUAUAGUUCAUCAAAUAAAAUAUGACCAAUAAAAUUACUCAAUUUUCUGCAAAAAUUACUUUAAUUUAGUGCAUUAAUUUUAAAGUGAAAUUAAUUAAUUUUAUAUUUUAACGAGUUAUAAUAUAAUAAUUUAAUAGUUUAUCUAAAAAGAGAUUAUAAUCUACUCAUAAAACAUAAGAUAUUAAUUGUAAAGUUGAAUCUUAUCCUUAUCAUAUUAAAAUAAUUUAUUAAAAUAUACACCAUAGUUAAAAAUAAUAUAUUAUAUAUUUUAAAAAUAUUAAACUCAUAGAUUAUAUUAAAUUUAAUUUAAUUUAGUCGUAACAAAAUUUAUUUAUCUCACGUAUAGAUUCAGUAUUUUUAUAAAAAAAUUAUUAGUACAGCAAGAAAAAAUUUCAGUACAAAAUAUAUGUAUUUAUUAGUUACGUGAUAUUAAUAGUGAGAUGUAUAAAUAAUUUUUAAAUUAAAAUAUUAACAUAAACUAAUAAUUUAUAAUUAAAAAAUAAUUUACCAAUUAGUUGUGAGGAAAGAGGUCUUAGUUUUUCUAAAUUUUUUUCUUUAGUUGGACUUGUUCUUUCGUGUUUGCAGCUUUUUAAGGGUAAAGAAUUGUAUUGACUUCCUUAUUAUAUCUAUUAAAACCAUUGAUAAGUUAUGUAUCUGUGGUGUGUAUAUAUAUAUAUAUGUACAUAUUUGAAAAAAAUGUAUAUAUAUACACACACACAGAGACAAGAAUUAGAGAACAUGGCUAUCGCUGGAAAUGUUUGAAAAGAUUCCCAUGAUAAAUUUGGCACAGAAGUGCGUCGCCUCCAUUUCAAGAUUCUAAUUCCUAGAGCAUGAAAAGAUAUAUGUGAUAUAUAUAUAUAUAUAUGUGAUAUAUAUGUGAUAUAUAUAUAUAUAUAUCGAUCUUAUCUUAUCAGGCAACGUAUAAAAAAAUUAUUCCUUCCUCACUCCCACUCGUAGCGUAAUCUUCAAGCUGAAGCUCUGAAGAUUCCUUUCACCCCUCCACUCCACACCUAUAUAAAGACCAACCAAGUUUCGCACUUCAAACACAAAAGAAACACACACAAAAAAAAGAAAAAACUCAGAGCAAUCAAGAAAAAAAAAGUAAGAAAAUGGAAGGAACAAGCGUUCAGGUGAGAAGACAAGUGAGAGACUCGAUCGAACAAGGUUUCGACACGGCCCACCGUGUGACCGACUUGGUGACCUUUCCUUUAGCGCCACUCGACGGCGCCGUACACGGCGUUGCUCGUGGAGUCUUCAACUGGCUCACCGACAGGCAUCCCGAGCCUGCAGCCACUGGUUCAAAAUGCGCACCGCCGGCCCCAGCCGUGCAACCCACCAGUUGCAAGGUCGACCCGGCGGCUUGCUGUAAGCCCGGGCCUCAAUUUGGUAACCAUGGAAACAUUGGCGCACAGAACAAUACUACUGGAAACAACAAUAACCUUGACGCUCGCAUUAGCGGACCCAUGAACUUCGGAAACCCUAAGGGCUUUUAAGUAGAUACGUAGCGUCAUGCGCGCCGGGGUUAUCAUGGGUUCCUGCCAGAAAAAUAUUUAUGAAUAAGGUUGCUGCAUGCUUUUGCGUGUUGUACGUGGGGUGUCUGCAUGUUUAUGAAGGUUAUCUAUAAAUAAAAGAAAAUGCCUCGGUGUUUAGUAAUUACCGUACAUAUUUCAUACAAAUAUAUAUAUAUAAUAUAUAUAUACGAGAUAUAUAUCUAUAUCUCUGAACCCACCUUCAAUUUGGGCUUUAAUUCUCUAAAAAAAGCUGUGAGCCUUAACAUAUUCAUAUAGAUAUAUCUCUCGUAUAUAACCUAUUCACAGAGUUACUUGGGUCUUUC
rnacentral:lncRNA from 1 species